rnacentral:tRNA from 1 species
GCCAGCAUGAUGUAGUGGUUUAAAUAUUGGACUAUGACUCUGGAGACCAGGGUUUGAAUCCCUGCUUAGCCA